CUAUCUAUCUAUCUAUCUAUCUAUCUAUCAUAAAGCAAGGCUCACCAAGCUACGAUUGAUCUGUUUGAGGCUUCUAUAUUAUCUAUGUGCAUGUUUCCUAACAUGGGGCAGCUGAAGUCAUUUUUUCUCUCCUAUUCAUUAAAGAGCAGAUUUAAAAGGAAUAACUAGGAAGACUAAUUUUGGGUAAUUGGUGGUUGACAAAUUCAUCCUACAGAUGUGAUCUUGUGAAUGUGAUGCCAAGGAGCCAUCGUUUUAAAGAGAAUAUUCAGCAGUUUACUUGACGCUGUACUGAGUAGACCAGACGUGUAGUCGGUCCCCCUCUUUCCACCCUGAAUGUAGGCAUCCAGGUGCUGGCAGGGACGCCCUUCAACCGGAGGCAGACUCUCAGCAGAGAGUGCAGUUACCCUCACUUGAGGGGGUGGGAACAUGCUCUCCUGGGGGUGGGGGCGAGUCUUGCUCAGAACCUCUGGGAAGAAUGGAUUAUUUCAAAGGGGUCUUUCCUCUGCCUUCUCCUUCCCUUCCAUUGAGACUCACUAGACCAGUCCUACCUGGAACAUAAAGUUCAAGUAAGGAAAAGAUGUGUUUUUGACCAAUAGUUGUUCUUCCCCAGGGAAAUGCAUAGGCUAUCUGCCUUUGAGCUGAUCCCUCUACUUCUGUGCUCUUGUUUCUAAGGAAGCAUAGGCCAGAGAAAGGGGAGAUGAAGUCACUUCCAAAAUGGAUGCAAUUAAAGAGUAGGAAAGUAAAAGGGACAGCAUGGUUUCUUCUUGUAUUUUAAGAUGUGGGACCCACUUUAGGUUUUCUCUGUGACGAAAGCAAACAAUGUAGAGAGAACAUUGUACACUAGCGGGGGCAGUCAAAGCCUGUAGGAUUUGGGGAGCAGGGACAAGUGAACUUUCGGGUGUUGGGGAUCUGGUAGGAUCCCCCUUCUGUUCUGGGUAAACGGUGAAGAAGAGUGUCGGGAGGAGCAGAGGAAAGCUGUGUUUUUAUCCCGGGUCUGUUGCACUACCCACGCAGCCGUUCACAUUAACGCCCACACCUGCAAACUUGCAGGCAGGUGUGAGAAAUGUAUGCUGUCCUGGAACCAGUGGAACUUUGGCAAAGAGUGCUGUUGUGAGCAGUGGGAGGAUCCCCGACAGAGUGCCAGAAGCCUGGGUCCCAGGUCUAACUGUGGGUUCUUACCUAUUUCUCUGGGGCUCAGUUUCUGCAUCUGUAAAAUGGGAAGAUUUGACUAAGAGAUUAUCCACAUUCCCAAAUCAAUAUCCUCCGGCAGCUCGGGCCAUCUAUCGACAACCCAGAUCUGCGGAGGCAUCCUGGUCCUUUCAAAUGCUGAGCCCUGGUUGGUUCAAGAGCUCUAGCUUUCUGCUUUCUUACAUCCAAGUUGAAAACAGGAAAUGGAUUUAAGGAGGAAUAAACAACAGAAACUCUAUGCAGUUCUGUGAAACACCUGACCAGGCACAGAGUAUAAAACCAAACUCCAGAAAGAAAGAUGAGAAAUCCAACCCAUAGAGGGAACAUGAUGUACCAGAGGCCACACAAUCAUUGGAGGCAAAGCCAUGACUGGGAUUCUUGCCUCUCCUGACAUAUGAAACCUGAGAUAGGAGGACUCUGCGGUGUGAAGGGAAUGAAGGAUGUGCACUCAGAAGCAGGGGCUGUGCUGAGUUUGACACUUGGGAUCUUGAUCCCAGUGGCCCAACAAAGGCUGCUCUCGGACAAGCCAUACCUCCCUAGAACGGGACAGAAGAAAUGAACACAGUUCCUCCCUCCCAGAAAAAUUUCCUGAACAUCAGAAGAGCUCUGUUUUCUAAGGAUAGAAACCUUAGAGGACCUUUUUUCAGGUCUUAGGGGAACACCCAGCACUGUCAGCAGGGUUCCGAGGCCACAGGGCUCUCUGCCAUUAACCUGUCAACUGUAAUCAGUUUUGGCUCCUAGCAGUGACCCUCAUUUGGGAGGAAAAUAAAAGUGGAACCAAAUGGGUGGCUAUCUGUCCAGUAACAUACAGAACUAGCUGGAACUUCAGCAAAUUAAUUUGGCUAAGUCUCAAGGUUCUCAACUCAAAAAUGAAGGGAAUUUGAACCACACCCUUUAUGUUCUUUGGGAUGUCUCUUUUCUAUUUCACUGGGAUGCUGGGAGGAUAAUUAGGUAAGGACUAUAGAAUAUAAUAAAUUAAAAGAUGUCAUUCUUUUUUUUUUAAUUUUUUUUUCAACGUUUUUUAUUUAUUUUUGG